AGUGAACGCUGGCGGUAGGCCUAACACAUGCAAGUCGAACGGCAGCACAGUAAGAGCUUGCUCUUACGGGUGGCGAGUGGCGGACGGGUUAGGAAUACAUCGGAAUCUACUUUUUCGUGGGGGCUAACGUAGGGAAACUUACGCUAAUACCGCAUACGACCUACGGGUGGAAGCAGGGGAUCUUCGGACCUUGCGCGAUUGCAUGAGCCGAUGUCGGAUUAGCUAGUUGGCGGGGUAAAGGCCCACCAAGGCGACGAUCCGUAGCUGGUCUGAGAGGAUGAUCAGCCACACUGGAACUGAGACACGGUCCAGACUCCUACGGGAGGCAGCAGUGGGGAAUAUUGGACAAUGGGCGCAAGCCUGAUCCAGCCAUACCGCGUGGGUGAAGAAGGCCUUCGGGUUGUAAAGCCCUUUUGUUGGGAAAGAAAAGCAGCAGGUUAAUACCCCGCUGUGAUGACGGUACCCAAAGAAUAAGCACCGGCUAACUUCGUG
rnacentral:rRNA from 1 species